rnacentral:rRNA from 1 species
UACGGAGGAUCCGAGCGUUAUCCGGAUUUAUUGGGUUUAAAGGGUGCGCAGGCGGGGGAUUAAGUCGGCGGUGAAAUUUUGCUGCUCAACUGUAAAAGUGCCUUCGAAACUGGUUUCCUUGAGUGUAGAUGAAGUAGGCGGAAUUUGUGGUGUAGCGGUGAAAUGCAUAGAUAUAACACAGAACACCGAUCGUGAAGACAGGUUACGAAUUUGUGAUAGACGCUCAUGCACGAAAGCGUGGGGAUCAAACAGGAUUAGAUACCCCCGUAGUCCCU